GACGAACGCUGGCGGCGUGCUUAACACAUGCAAGUCGAACGGAAAGGCCCUGCUUUUGUGGGGUGCUCGAGUGGCGAACGGGUGAGUAACACGUGAGUAACCUGCCCUUGACUUUGGGAUAACUUCAGGAAACUGGGGCUAAUACCGGAUAGGAGCUCCUGCUGCAUGGUGGGGGUUGGAAAGUUUCGGCGUUUGGGGAUGGCCUCGCGGCUUAUCAGCUUGUUGGUGGGGUAGUGGCUUACCAAGGCUUGGACGGGUAGCCGGCCUGAGAGGGUGGCCGGCACCUUGGGGACGGGGUACGGGCCAGAACGCCGACGGGGGGAAAGGGGGGGGAAUUUUCGAAAAAGGGCGGAGGGAGGAGGGAGGAACGCCGGGUGGGGGAAGGCGGCUUUUGGGUGGGAACCAGUUUUGACGUGACAAGACGCGUGGGGGCGGUAACUGGGAAAAAAACCACGGCUAACUACGUG
rnacentral:rRNA from 1 species